AAAAAUGAAAUAAUUUUUGAAAUAAAGUUGCAUUCUUAGUGAUGCUUCAUCUUUGCAUGUAGAAUUAAAAAAAAAACAAGUUUUGACAGUUAGUAUAAUGCCCACUUUUUAAACAUAGACAAAAGAUGUAUGCAAGAAUCUAUUUCCCAAAGGCUUUUGUUUGGGGCUGUUUGGGGACAUUUUUACUCAUCUUGAAUGUGUAGUGGGU
rnacentral:lncRNA from 1 species